CGGGGGGGGUAAGCGUUGUUCGGAAUUACUGGGCGUAAAGGGCUCGUAGGCGGCCAACUAAGUCAUACGUGAAAUCCCUCAGCUUAACUGGGGAACUGCGUGUGAUACUGGAUGGCUUGGAUGUGGGAGAGGGAUGCGGAAUUCCAGGUGUAGCGGUGAAAUGCGUAGAUAUCUGGAGGAACACCGGUGGCGAAGGCGGCAUCCUGGACCAUUAUUGACGCUGAGGAGCGAAAGCCAGGGGAGCAAACGGGAUUAGAUACCCCGGUAGUCCUGGCCCUAAACGAUGAAUGCUUGGUGUAGCGGGUAUCGAUCCCUGCUGUGCCGAAGCUAACGCAUUAAGCAUUCCGCCUGGGGAGUACGGUCGCAAGGCUG
rnacentral:rRNA from 1 species